rnacentral:ncRNA from 1 species
CAAAGAUAACGGAGAAUGAAGAUUCUGUUGAGUUUGACUCUACUUUCACAUUGUGAAGAGUCAGAGGUUAGCAUAGGUGUGAGACUUCCGUCGACAAUGAAAUACCACCACUUUCAUCGAUUCUUUACUUAUUCGGUGAGAAGAGGAUUGAGCUAGCUUCGACUUUUUGUUCUUAGUGUUAAGCAUGACCACCAGGUGGCCGUGCGACUCUCGCCGAAGACAGUGUCAGGCGGAAAGUUUGACUGGGGCGGUGCAAACACACAAACUAUUAUAUAACGCAGGUGUCCUAAGGCUACCUCAGAGAGGACGGAAACCCCUCGUAGGGGCAAAAGCUCGCUUGAUCUUGACUUUCAGUACGAGUACAGACCGCGAAAGCGUGGCCUAUCGAUCCUUUUAAUCCAGAUGGUUUCUGGUAAGAGGUGUCAGAAAAGUUACCACAGGGAUAACUUGCUUGUGGCAGCCAUAGCGACGUUGCUUUUUGAUCCUUCGAUGUCGGCUCUUCCUAUCGUUGCGAAGCAGAAUUCGAAAAGCGUUGGAUUGUUUACCCACUGAUAGGGAACGUGAGCCGGGUUUAAACCGUCGUGAGACAGGUUAGUUUUACCUACUGUUGACUAAUUGUUGCGAUAGGUAUCCUGCUUAGUACGAGAGGAACAGCAGGUUCAGACAUUUGGUUCAUGGACUUGACCGAUCGGUCAAUGGUCCGAAGCUACCAUCUGGGGGAUUAUGACUGAACGCCUCUAAGUCAGAAUCCCACCUAGUCAAGUCAGCGAUAACUUUGAUUCCCUGUGUCGGGAGGCAACUCUAUCUCGUGGCAACACGAGAGCUUAUGCCCGAGAGCUUUAAGUAAUCUUGCCGGUAUCGAUAAUCCCUGCUGGUUGUCAAAGCCAGAUCACUCUGGUUCAAUGUCGGGGCGCAAAAUCACAUGUUUACGACAUGUAUACUGGUCAAGGUGUUGUAUCCAGUAGAACAAUAUUUGUAUACUGCGAUCUGUUGAGACUAUCCUCGGAGUUCUAUUCUAUUC